GAUGAACGCUGGCGGCGUGCCUAAUACAUGCAAGUCGAGCGAACAGACGAGGAGCUUGCUCCUCUGACGUUAGCGGCGGACGGGUGAGUAACACGUGGAUAACCUACUUAUAAGACUGGGAUAACUUCGGAAAACCGGAGCUAAUACCGGAUAAUAUAUUGAACCGCUUGGUUCAAUAGUGAAAGACGGUUUUGCUGUCAAUUAUAGAUGGAUCCGCGCCGCAUUAGCUAGUUGGUAAGGUAACGGCUUACCAAGGCAACGAUGCGUAGCCGACCUGAGAGGGUGAUCGGCCACACUGGAACUGAGACACGGUCCAGACUCCUACGGGAGGCAGCAGUAGGGAAUCUUCCGCAAGGGGCGAAAGCCUGACGGAGCAACGCCGCGUGAGUGAUGAAGGUCUUCGGUUCGUAAAACUCUGUUAUUAGGGAAGAACAAAUGUGUAAGUAACUAUGCACGUCUUGACGGUACCUAAUCAGAAAGCCACGGCUAACUACGUG
rnacentral:rRNA from 1 species